AAUGAACGCUGGCGGCGUGCUUAACACAUGCAAGUCGCACGAGAACGCUUCAGCUUGCUGAAGCUAGUAAAGUGGCGCACGGGUGAGUAUCGCGUGGGUAAUCUACCCUUCGGUCGGGAAUAACGUUGCGAAAGCGGCGCUAAUACCCGAUAAAAUACUUACGGCCUUGGCCGUUGGAUUCAAAGGUGGCCUCUUCAUGAAAGCUACCGCAGAAGGAUGAGCCCGCGUCCCAUUAGCUUGUUGGCGGGGUAACGGCCCACCAAGGCGACGAUGGGUAGCUGGUCUGAGAGGAUGAUCAGCCACACUGGAACUGACACACGGUCCAGACUCCUACGGGUGGCAG
rnacentral:rRNA from 1 species